AACCUGGUUGAUCCUGCCAGUAGUCAUAUGCUUGUCUCAUUAGAUUAAGCCAUGCAUGUCUAAGUAUAAACUGCUUUAUACUGUGAAACUGCGAAUGGCUCAUUAAAUCAGUUAUAGUUUAUUUGAUGGUACCUACUUACUCGGAUACCCGUAGUAAUUCUAGAGCUAAUACGUGCGUACAUCCCGACUUCUGGAAGGGACGUAUUUAUUAGAUAAAAGGCCGACCGGGCUUGCCCGACCCGCGGUGACUCAUGAUAACUUCACGAAUCGCAUGGCCUUGCGCCGGCGAUGUUUCAUUCAAAUUUCUGCCCUAUCAACUUUUCGAUGGUAGGAUAGAGGCCUACCAUGGUGGUAACGGGUGACCGGAGAAUUAGGGUUCGAUUCCGGAGAGGGAGCCCUGAGAAACCGGCUACCAC
rnacentral:rRNA from 1 species